AAUCAAAUUUUAUUUUGGUUUUAUAAAAAUAUAUUUUUUAUUUCUCUAAUUGCGAAAAAAAUAGGAAAAAGUUUUUUUACUCCCAAUAUUUUAAUUUCUAUUUAUAGAAUUUAUAGAAAUAAUAUUAUAUUUUAUUCCAUUUUUAUUUCUAUAAUAAAAAUUCACUUGUUUUGAAUCGGUUGGUAGCUCGAGUCAAUCCGCAUUCGUAAAAGGAAGUUUCCGAUUCAAGUCGUUUUAAUUUUUCAAGUAUUUUUUUUUAUUUAACAAAUAGUUAUUGUUGAUCGAAAAUAUUUUUUCCAGUUUAAAAAGUAUUAAAAUCUAUAACAAUCUAACAUAAAAUUUAUUGAAGAAGCUCAAUUAUUUACAAUUUCUAUAAAUUAUCUGGGAAAUAGGCGAAAUAUGACAACCUAACCUUAAAAUUUUCAAUUGUCAAAAAAUGGUCAAAAUUUAGUAAAUUUCUUAUCAACGCAAAUUUUUAUCUUGUUUUCAAAAUAAAAAUAUCAAAAAAUCCAAAGGGACAUUUUGUAAAUAUUAUUUUUGUGCUUGUGCAGAUGAUUAUUAUUUUCUGUGAAUUUGAACUUUUUAUGUGAUGUGCAAAUUUUGUGCUUAUAGAAGAAUUACUACAAAAUAAAACAUUUUCUAUCUACAUUUGUAACAGAAAAUUAAUUAGGGGAAAAAGUGUAUCGUUUGACAUUUAUAUGUAUUCUUGAAACUAUGAGCUCCGAAGAAAACAGGAAAUUCGGUUGAAAUAAUGAACGAAAAUGGGCAGCAGAUGGUCUCGAAAAAUUCAUACCAAACAUAAAAUCAAGUUUCCCUCUCUUUGCAAAGUGAGUGAGAGAGAGAGAGAGAGAGAGAGAAAAAAAAUGCGAGGGAAAUAGAAUUUUACAGAUGGGAGAGAAUUUUCAGCUGUGCGCGGUUCUCGAUAAAGUGCGCUGAAAAAUUCACACGAUCAUAUAUAUAUAGAAUAAAAUAGAAAGAACGAAAAUAUUGUACGAAAAAGAAAUAAAGACAAGAGGCCCGCACAUGUGUGUGUGUGUGGUUAGAAUACGGAAUUUCCCGGAGAAUGGCUAUAAAGGCAAAAAAAAAGAUAUAGGGACAAAGAUUCACCUUAUAACCAUCAUCAUCAUAUUAUUCUCUAUCCUCUCUUCUAUUUCUAUUAUUUCCUUCCUUCUCUUUUCUCUUCUCUUUCAGUUCUCACCUUCAUCGCAACCCA